GAUGAAGAACGUAGCGAAAUGCGAUAACUAAUGUGAAUUGCAGAAUUCAGUGAAUCAACGAGUCUUUGAACGCACAUUGCGCCCCCUGGUAUUCCGGGGGGCAUGCCUGUCCGAGCGUCAUUGCUGCCCUCAAGCACGGCUUGUGUGUUGGGCUCCGUCCCCCCGGGGACGGGCCCGAAAGGCAGCGGCGGCACCGAGUCCGGUCCUCGAGCGUAUGGGGCUUUGUCACCCGCUCUGUAGGCCCGGCCGGCGCCAGCCGACAACCCAUCAUCCUUUUCAGGUUGACCUCGGAUCAGGUAGGGAUACCCGCUGAACUUAAGCAUAUCAAUAAGCGGAGGA
rnacentral:misc_RNA from 1 species